CCAAUCUCCCUGUUUCUGUAGGUUCACCUGAGAUUUAUCUGGUCUUUCGGGGCUUAAAAGGGAGACAGUCCCAAAGACGUGAGUAAUUCUGACCUGUAGAGGAUUCCAUGGGAAGUCUUCUACAAGCCCCGAAGGAAGGGAAUCUCUCUCCUCAUACCUUGAGUUUCCUGAGUACAAUUAUUAUAGAUAUACGAAGAUCUCUAUGCUCAUGGGGAAUUUGUGUCAAGGGAUUUGUACAGCCCUAUAGGAGACACCUCCAGAGAAAGUAACAACUCUCAGUUGAUUAGCUGAGGUAUGUAUGUCAUUUAUGGCAAUACCUGUCUCCAUCCCCUCCGUCUUCUUCUAGGAGACCAAUUUUGUAAAUUGCUACUUUUCUAACAACAGUGGCACAGGUGGCCCAGCAUUCUCCCUUUUCUCAGAGCUGGUUUUCCAUCCUGGAAAGAGGUCUUACAUAUACAAAGUUACUCUAAUCAGUUGU
rnacentral:lncRNA from 1 species